CGUUAUGGCGGCUAUGCGCGGGAGGUCUUCAGGCCUGCCGGGUUCCUAUUGUCCCGGUUUUCCAGCCCGCGUAUGGCUGUCACCUUU
rnacentral:antisense_RNA from 1 species